rnacentral:rRNA from 1 species
GUGGGGAAUUUUGGACAAUGGGCGCAAGCCUGAUCCAGCAAUGCCGCGUGCAGGAAGAAGGCCUUCGGGUUGUAAACUUCUUUUGGAGGGGACGAAUAAAUUGACGGUACCCUCAGAAAAAGCCACGGCUAACUACGUGCCAGCAGCCGCGGUAAUACGUAGGUGGCGAGCGUUACUCGUAAUUACUAGGCGUAAAGCGUAUGUAGGCGGUUGUAUAAGUCUAUGGUGAAAUUUCCUGGCUCAACUGGGAAGGGACAUAGAUACUGUAUGGCUUGAGUGUUGGAGGGGGAGACGGAAUUCCUGGUGUAGCGGUGAAAUGCGUAGAUAUCAGGAGGAACACCGAUGGCGAAAGCAGUCUCCUGGCCAAAUACUGACGCUGAGGUACGAAAGCUAGGGUAGCAAACAGGAUUAGAUACCCUAGUAGUCC